rnacentral:rRNA from 1 species
AUAGCGUAUAUUAAAGUUGUUGCAGUUAAAAAGCUCGUAGUUGAAUUUUAGGCCUGGUUGGACGUUCUGCUCUAGGGUUUGUACUGUCCUGACUGGGUCUUACCUUCUGGUGAGCUGUCGUAUUGUUUACUCAGUGCGGCAGGGAACCAGGACUUUUACUUUGAAAAAAUUAGAGUGUUUAAAGCAGGCAUUCGCUUGAAUACAUUAGCAUGGAAUAAUAGAAUAGGACUUUGGUUCUAUUUUGUUGGUUUCUAGGACCGAAGUAAUGAUUAAUAGGGAUAGUUGGGGGCAUUAGUAUUUAAUUGUCAGAGGUGAAAUUCUUGGAUUUAUUAAAGACUAACUUCUG